AUUGAACGCUGGCGGCAUGCCUUACACAUGCAAGUCGAACGGUAACAGGUCUUCGGAUGCUGACGAGUGGCGAACGGGUGAGUAAUACAUCGGAACGUGCCUAGUAGUGGGGGAUAACUACUCGAAAGAGUGGCUAAUACCGCAUGAGAUCUACGGAUGAAAGCAGGGGAUCGCAAGACCUUGUGCUACUAGAGCGGCCGAUGGCAGAUUAGGUAGUUGGUGGGAUAAAAGCUUACCAAGCCGACGAUCUGUAGCUGGUCUGAGAGGACGAUCAGCCACACUGGGACUGAGACACGGCCCAGACUCCUACGGGAGGCAGCAGUGGGGAAUUUUGGACAAUGGGCGCAAGCCUGAUCUAGCAAUGCCGCGUGCAGGAUGAAGGCCUUCGGGUUGUAAACUGCUUUUGUACGGAACGAAAAGCCCUGGGUUAAUACCCUGGGGUCAUGACGGUACCGUAAGAAUAAGCACCGGCUAACUACGUG
rnacentral:rRNA from 1 species